GACGAACGCUGGCGGUGUGCUUAAUACAUGCAAGUCGAACGUGAAGCUACCUUCGGGUAGUGGAAAGUGGCGGACGGGUGAGUAACACGUAGGUAAUCUGCCUUAAGGUGGGGACAACGUUGGGAAACUGACGCUAAUACCCCAUAUGUGGCGAGCUGCAAUGCUCGUUAUGAAAGUUCCGGCGCCUUAAGAUGAGCCUGCGGCUGAUUAGUUUGUUGGUGGGGUAAUGGCCUACCAAGACUAUGAUCAGUAGCUGGUCUGAGAGGAUGAUCAGCCACAAUGGGACUGAGACACGGCCCAUACUCCUACGGGAGGCAGCAGUAGGGAAUUUUGCGCAAUGGGCGAAAGCCUGACGCAGCAACACCGCGUGAGUGAUGAAGCAUCUUGGUGUGUAAAACUCUGUCAGAAGGGACGAAUCAAUGACGGUACCUUCAAAGGAAGCAUCGGCUAACUACGUGCCAGCAGCCGCAGUAACAC
rnacentral:rRNA from 1 species